UUUCCUUGCAGGACCUCAUGAGUAAGCUGUGGCGGCGUGGGAGCACCUCUGGGGCUAUGGAGGCCCCUGAGCCGGGAGAAGCCCUGGAGUUGGGCCUGGCGGGUGCCCAUGGCCAUGGAGUGCACAAGAAAAAACACAAGAAGCACAAGAAGAAACACAAGAAGAAACACCAUCAGGAAGAAGACGCCGGGCCCACGCAGCCGUCCCCUGCCAAGCCCCAGCUCAAACUCAAAAUCAAGCUUGGGGGACAAGUCUUGGGGACCAAGAGUGUUGCUUCUCUGCAGUGUUCCUACCUUCACUGUGAUCCCAGAGGGGCCUCGCUCACCCUCUCCCCUUAUGGUUGUGGAUAAUGAAGAGGAACCUAUGGAAGGAGUCCCCCUUGAGCAGUACCGUGCCUGGCUGGAUGAAGACAGUAAUCUCUCUCCCUCUCCACUUCGGGACCUAUCAGGAGGGUUAGGGGGUCAGGAGGAAGAGGAGGAACAGAGGUGGCUGGAUGCCCUGGAGAAGGGGGAGCUGGAUGACAAUGGAGACCUCAAGAAGGAGAUCAAUGAGCGGCUGCUUACUGCUCGACAGCGAGCUCUGCUCCAGAAGGCGCGGAGUCAACCUUCCGCGAUG
rnacentral:sRNA from 1 species